UACGGGGGGGGCAAGCGUUGUUCGGAAUUACUGGGCGUAAAGGGCUUGUAGGUGGCCAACUAAGUCAGACGUGAAAUCCCUCGGCUUAACCGGGGAACUGCGUCUGAUACUGGAUGGCUUGAGUGUGGGAGAGGGAUGCGGAAUUCCAGGUGUAGCGGUGAAAUGCGUAGAUAUCAAGAGGAACACCUGAGGUGAAGACGGGUUGCUGGGCUGACACUGACGCUGAAGCACGAAAGCUAGGGUAGCAAACGGG
rnacentral:rRNA from 1 species